rnacentral:rRNA from 1 species
UACGUAGGGUGCGAGCGUUGUCCGGAAUUACUGGGCGUAAAGAGUUCGUAGGCGGUUUGUCGCGUCGUUUGUGAAAACCCGGGGCUCAACUUCGGGCUUGCAGGCGAUACGGGCAGACUUGAGUGUUUCAGGGGAGACUGGAAUUCCUGGUGUAGCGGUGAAAUGCGCAGAUAUCAGGAGGAACACCGGUGGCGAAGGCGGGUCUCUGGGCCGAUACUGACGCUGAGGAGCGAAAGCGUGGGGAGCAAACAGG